rnacentral:rRNA from 1 species
GAUGAACGCUGGCGGCGUGCUUAACACAUGCAAGUCGAACGGAAAGGCUCCUGCUUGCGGGGGUACUCGAGUGGCGAACGGGUGAGUAACACGUGGGUGAUCUGCCCUGCACUUCGGGAUAAGCCUUGGAAACUGGGGCUAAUACCGGAUAGGACGAUGGUUUGGAUGCCAUUGUGGACAGUUUUUCGGUGUGGGAUGAGCUCGCGGCCUAUCAGCUUGUUGGUGGGGUAAUGGCCUACCAAGGCGUCGACGGGUAGCCGGCCUGGGAGGGUGGACGGCCACAUUGGGACUGAGAUACGGCCCAGACUCCUACGGGAGGCAGCAGUGGGGAAUAUUGCACAAUGGGCGCAAGCCUGAUGCAGCGACGCCGCGUGGGGGAUGACGGCCUUCGGGUUGUAAACUCCUUUCGCUAGGGACGAAGCGCAAGUGACGGUACCUGGAGAAGAAGCACCGGCUAACUACGUG